rnacentral:rRNA from 1 species
GACGAACGCUGGCGGCGUGCUUAACACAUGCAAGUCGAGCGGUAAGGCUCCUUCGGGAGUACACGAGCGGCGAACGGGUGAGUAACACGUGAGUAAUCUGCCCUUCACUUCGGGAUAACCACCGGAAACGGUGGCUAAUACCGAAUACGACCAGUCUUCGCAUGAGGUGCUGGGGGAAGGUCUUUUCGGUGAAGGAUGUGCUCGCGGCCUAUCAGCUUGUUGGUGGGGUAAUGGCCUAACAAGGCUUCGACGGGUAGCCGGCCUGAGAGGGUGACCGGCCACACUGGGACUGAGACACGGCCCAGACUCCUCCGGGAGGCAGCAGUGGGGAAUAUUGGACAAUGGGCGAAAGCCUGAUCCAGCAACGCCGCGUGAGGGAUGACGGCCUUCGGGUUGUACGCCUCUUUCAGUACCGACGAAGCGCCCUGUCGGGUGGUGACGGUAGGUACAGAAGAAGGACCGGCCAACUACGUG